UGCGAAGGGGGCUAGCGUUGCUCGGAAUCACUGGGCGUAAAGGGUGCGUAGGCGGGUCUUUAAGUCAGGGGUGAAAUCCUGGAGCUCAACUCCAGAACUGCCUUUGAUACUGAGAAUCUUGAGUUCGGGAGAGGUGAGUGGAACUGCGAGUGUAGAGGUGAAAUUCGUAGAUAUUCGCAAGAACACCAGUGGCGAAGGCGGCUCACUGGCCCGAUACUGACGCUGAGGCACGAAAGCGUGGGGAGCAAACAGG
rnacentral:rRNA from 1 species